AAGAAAAAACUGUACGUCUUUCUGUUUCCUUGCAAUCGCCGGGCUCCUAGACAAACACACGGACCACGCCCUACGCACGGACGGCUUGACAAUCGAAGCCCUCCCAGGUACUCCACGUCUUGUUUUUCUUUUCCGUCUUCAACGCCCACGCCAUUUCCCAAUCGCCGUAGUGCCGCAAGGCAGCAACGGAGGAGGAGCACGCCAGUAGACUCACUGUCAGGUUCUGAGAUGCUGAGAAAGAAUGAUCUCAAAACCAUUCAAAUGGCUCCUUCCCUAUACGGAACUUCAACUUAUAUCUUGAGGAUCAAAGUGGACAUAAAAUGAUGAUUAUGGAUCUGCGGAUGAUAUCAAGGUGCACAAGGUUCUAAUGCUUCAUCAAAAAGCAAAAAAAAAUCUUAUCAUGAAAAAUAUAUAUAAGGAGGCACUAGAUGUGUUGAUGGUGGUCGAGGUAUGCAUUGUUGCCUUAUGUGAUUGUUUUGGUCCUACUAUAAGAAGCAUGUGCAUCUUUUAGAUUGCUACAUAUUGUGGGAAAAAAUUAUGUGAGAUCUGGAAAUGCCUAAGUAUGGGUUUAUAAUAACGGGCCUCGAGUUCUAGUUUUUCCCCGGGCCCAUGCAAUCUCAACAUCGGUCCUACCUCGGAGAUGCUCAUAGGGGUAUGGUGUAUGUGCGUGCGUUCAUAAAGAUGAGUGUAUGUAAGCAUCUGUGUUUGUACUCUGUUAACAAACAG